rnacentral:rRNA from 1 species
UACGUAGGGGGCAAGCGUUGUCCGGAUUCAUUGGGCGUAAAGAGCGUGUAGGCGGCCAGGUAGGUCGGUUGUGAAAACUGGAGGCUCAACCUUCAGACGUCGACCGAAACCAUCUGGCUAGAGUCCGGGAGAGGAGAGUGGAAUUCCUGGUGUAGCGGUGAAAUGCGCAGAUAUCAGGAAGAACACCCGUGGCGAAGGCGGUUCUCUGGGACGGUACUGACGCUGAGACGCGAAAGCGUGGGGAGCGAACAGG